rnacentral:tRNA from 1 species
GAACAAACAGCAUAAUAAAUGCAGUAUGAUUUCGGCUCAUAAAGUAGAGACAUCUCUUUUGUUCU